rnacentral:rRNA from 1 species
UACGAAGGGAGCUAGCGUUGUUCGGAAUUACUGGGCGUAAAGGGCGCGUAGGCGGCUUGAUAAGUUGGGUGUGAAAGCCCAGGGCUCAACCCUGGAAUUGCACUCAAGACUAUCUUGCUUGAAUUCGGUAGAGGUUGGUGGAAUUCCCAGUGUAGAGGUGAAAUUCGUAGAGAUUGGGAAGAAUAUCCGUGGCGAAGGCGGCCAACUGGACCGACAUUGACGCUGAGGCGCGAAAGCGUGGGGAGCAAACAGG